AAACAACAGUUUAUCCGUUUAUGAAAGUUUAAAGAUAUGGUUAUAUGGUUUCACAGCACGUUUGUUCUCAAUUGCCGCCAUACGUAUGUUGUCUAAACUUCACCGCUGAAAACAAUAAUUGUCGAAUAAUGAGAGAUUAAGUUGUUUAGUUACAACUUUCGAUAUUUUCGAUAUGCGAAAAAUCGAAUAUCGAUAUUUUUGAAAUAUCAAUAUUUAUCGAAAAUAUCGAUAUAUCGCAACUGCCUAGGGCAGUGGCAUUUCAACUUUAUUAUUUUUCCAAGGUCUCUGUGAGACUUUGACUCAUUCACCAUGAACAAAAGCAGUACAUGUAAAAAGAAAGGCGCCGCUUUUUGGGUGUACUGUUUGUACAUGUUGAAUGGCUGGAAGUGUUGCAGGUAUCUUGGGAUAUCUAAUAAAGUUGUGAUGUUAUUUCAGUGCUGUUUCUAUAAAGGGCAGCCUUGCUAUGGCUAUAUGCCUUAGCCUAAAAAAAUAGUGUUAUUAAACUACAUGCUAAAAGUUUCUAUUGGCUGUUAGAAUGGUGGCUUGUAAGUGGGG
rnacentral:lncRNA from 1 species